CCCGAAUCUGCAUGGGUCAAACAUUUCACGUGUAAUUUUACCUGAAUUUUAGGACACUCAAAUUAUUUUUUACUAUCUACUAAGGAAGCACAUGCUCCUGCAUUCCAUUUUAUCUAUAUUUGUCAUUCUUACUUGUUGAAUAUCUACCAUAUGAUUACGACUUAUGACCCGCUGAUGUAGAUUCCCUUUUAAUUUGCAGGGACUUUAUUCAUGUUUCUCCUGAGCUCCAGGAUGAAGAAGUUGGAAAAAGAAAUGCAUGCUGGAUCCUGGGAGGUGUAGGACUUUGUUGUAAUGCCCUUUUUUCUGGGAAUUUUGUUGUACUGGUGAUUUUGCUGAGAAUUUGGUGUAUAUUUUCUUGCCACCAUGUUUACUUUAAAUUUAUUUUUGGAUUGGAAAAUAU
rnacentral:lncRNA from 1 species